rnacentral:rRNA from 1 species
AUGGCGGCGUCGUCGUCGACGGCGUCCUCGUACCGGUCGCGGUUCGGUGACACGACGGAGACGAAGGUGUUCGUGGGCGGGCUGGCGUGGGAGACCCCGUCGGAGGGCCUCCGGCAGCACUUCGAGCAGUACGGCGACAUCCUGGAGGCCGUCGUCAUCACGGACCGCCUCACCGGCCGCUCCAAGGGCUACGGAUUCGUGACGUUCCGGGAGGCGGAGGCGGCGCGGCGGGCGGUGCAGGACCCGAACCCGAUGAUCACCGGGCGGCGCGCCAACUGCAACAUUGCCUCGCUGGGCCCGCCGCGGCCCGCGCAUCCUCGAGGGAGGCCGUCGGCCGUGCCCUACUGGCAGCAGGGCCCGCCGGCGCCGGUGCCGCCGCAGGGCCCGCAGUACUACAUCCCCAGCCCGAGGGCUCCUCCUCCUCCGCAGCAGCAGAUGGGCCUGAUGCCCAGCCCUGGCCCGGCGAUGUACCACCAGCCGCCCCCUUCGCAGCCAUGGUACUGGGGCCCACCCGACUAUCAAUACCCACAGGCCAUGAUGACCCCUCAAAUGGUGCAGAACUACUAUGCUCAGCUGUAUGCGGCUGGGCUGGCGUCGCCGACAGGGCCACCGCCCUACCAUCAGUACGUGGGGUACAUGCAGAUGCAGGCCCCGACGCCGAGGGCAGCGGUGCUCUCGCCGGUGGCGCAGCAGAUCGCGGCGGGGCAGCCGUAUGCGCCGCACCCGGCGGCGGCGCAGAUGCAGGGCUUCUCCAUGCAGGUGCCUUCUCUCCCGCACAACUUCGCGCUGCAGCUGCCCUCCCAUGCAGUGUCGAUGCUGCCUCCCAACGCAACCGAUAUGCAGCCGGCUGGUGGCCAGGCGUCCUCCUCUGCAGCCGCGGCGACGAACGCGAACAACACUCACCAGGGUGCCUGA